AACGAACGCUGGCGGCAUGCCUAACACAUGCAAGUCGAACGAGACCUUCGGGUCUAGUGGCGCACGGGUGCGUAACGCGUGGGAACCUGCCCUUAGGUUCGGAAUAACUCCCCGAAAGGGGUGCUAAUACCGGAUAAUGUCUUCGGACCAAAGAUUUAUCGCCUUUGGAUGGGCCCGCGUUGGCUUAGCUAGUUGGUAGGGUAAAAGCCUACCAAGGCGACGAUCCAUAGCUGGUCUGAGAGGAUGAUCAGCCACACUGGGACUGAGACACGGUCCAGACUCCUACGGGAGGCAGCAGUGGGGAAUAUUGGACAAUGGGCGAAAGCCUGAUCCAGCAAUGCCGCGUGAGUGAUGAAGGCCUUAGGGUUGUAAAGCUCUUUUACCCGGGAUGAUAAUGACAGUACCGGGAGAAUAAGCUCCGGCUAACUCCGUG
rnacentral:rRNA from 1 species